GACUCCAGCUCACGUCAGCCUGUUCACUCUUUACCCUGUCCUGUUCUCUCCUACAUAUUUUUCUUCAGUCUUUCCUCAGUUUGUCCUCCUCCAUCAUCUCGACUGACCUUUUUUAGAUGCGGCAGCGUUUUGCUCAUUUGGAUUUAAUAUUAGGCUAGCCUGCUUCUCUUUCAUCCAGAAUCACUUGCAUUAGCCCCUGAGAAUAGUUUACAAGCUUUGGUUAGUCGUAUGGUAAAUUUCAGGAUCACAUGUGUCCCCAUGAUUACCGCCACCUGUGCUGGAGAGACCCCUAUGGAUGGGUGCAUGGAUGUAUUCAUAUGGAAUCCAUAAAUUUGAUUAACUGAAUGUUAAUACACUUUUAUUUGCCAUAUACAAAAGUACAAAUACAGAGCAGCACUGGACACAAAGGUGGAGGUGUGGGUGUGCAGACAGCUGGAACUGAUCAACAUCUCAGCAGGAAAACUCAAAGGUCUUCCUGCCAAGAUAUCCAGAUCACCCUCCAGUACCCCUAUACCUUCACCUCAUCUCCC